CUGUAUGCAUGCUGUGGAUAGCAGGAGCGCUCUGCAGGAGUAACAGAUCCUGAAGAGUCUCCUGGAUGGAGCCUGGGAAGAGAGUGAACUCACUUCGUGCCAGUUUGCACCUCCAUGUUGCAUGGCAAGGAGUAGAAAGCCAAGGGGUUCUCACCAUGCAUCGAACAGGUCUGUGUGAGUUUGUGGUGUGUCUGACUGGCCUUCUCAAGCAUGCUGCUUUCCUGCCGGCUUGA
rnacentral:lncRNA from 1 species